rnacentral:rRNA from 1 species
GACGAACGCUGGCGACGUGCUUAACACAUGCAAGUCGAACGGAAAGGCCCUGCUUUUGCGGGGUUCUCGAGUGGCGAACGGGUGAGUAACACGUGAGUAUCCUGCCCUUGACUUUGGGAUAACUUCAGGAAACUGGGGCUAAUACCGGAUAGGAGCUCCUGCUGCAUGGUGGGGGUUGGAAAGUUUCGGCGGUUGGGGAUGGACUCGCGGCUUAUCAGCUUGUUGGUGGGGUAGUGGCUUACCAAGGCUUUGAUGGAUAGUCGGCCUGGGAGGGGGGCCGGGGACAUUGGGACUGAGGGACGGCCCAGACUCCUACGUGAGGCAGCGGUGGGGAAUAUUGCACAAUGGGCGGAAGCCUGAUGCAGCAACGCCGCGUGCGGGAUGACGGCCUUCGGGUUGUAAACCGCUUUCGCCUGUGACGAAGCGUGAGUGACGGUAAUGGGUAAAGAAGCACCGGCUAACUACGUG